GAGCGUAGGUGCUUUGUCUUGAAUGCCGGUCUGCAAGAGACCACACUCAUAUCUAACAAUAUUUAAAACUACCAAACACAUACAUACACUUUUAUGUUGUACAUGACUAUUUUUUUUAUGAAUCUUAAGCUAGUUAUGAUCUAAUGUCUGUAAGAUGGGUGGUUUUGAUGCUGGUUAUGGCAUAUGGGAGUUCGAAUAAGUCAUGAUUGGUGGGGCCUGAAAAGGACCAUGAGAUGUGGUUUUUCGCUUAGUUCUACACCGCUAAAGAAGAAGAAGAUGAAAAUGUAAGAGUGAUCUAAACAAAAGUUAAUAACUAGAAAUGGAUACUAGAGUUUUAUGUGAUGAAAGCUUGUUCAAAGCAUAAGUUGAGGGCAUUGUUCCUAGCUGAUCUGUAGAAAUUUAAGAUAC